rnacentral:rRNA from 1 species
GAUCAUGGCUCAGGAUGAACGCUAGCGGCAGGCUUAACACAUGCAAGUCGAGGGGCAGCAUAAUGGAUAGCAAUAUCUAUGGUGGCGACCGGCGCACGGGUGCGUAACGCGUAUGCAACCUACCUUUAACAGGGGGGAUAACACUGAGAAAUUGGUACUAAUACCCCCAUAAUAUCAUAGAAGGCACCUUUUAUGGUUUGAAAAUUCCGAUGGUUAGAGAUGGGCAUGCGUUGUAUUAG